GACGGUACCAUAUGAAUAAGCACCGGCUAACUCCGUGCCAGCAGCCGCGGUAAUACGGAGGGUGCAAGCGUUACUCGGAAUCACUGGGCGUAAAGCGCGCGCAGGCGGCUAUUUAAGUUGGAUGUGAAAGCCUACGGCUCAACCGUAGAACUGCAUCCAAAACUAUUUAGCUAGAGUGUGGGAGAGGAAGAUGGAAUUAGUUGUGUAGGGGUAAAAUCCGUAGAGAUAACUAGGAAUACCAAAAGCGAAGGCAAUCUUCUGGAACAUUACUGACGCUGAGGCGCGAAAGCGUGGGGAGCAAACAGGAUUAGAUACCCUGGUAGUCCACGCCCUAAACGAUGAAUGUUAGUCGUCGGGUAGCUAGUCUAUUCGGUGAUGCAGCUAACGCAUUAAACAUUCCGUCUGGGGAGUACGGUCGCAAGAUUAAAACUCAAAGGAAUAGACGGGGACCCGCACAAGUGGUGGAGCAUGUGGUUUAAUUCGAAGAUACGCGAAGAACCUUACCUAGCCUUGACAUAUAUUAGAACUCACCAGAGAUGGAGAGGUGCCUUCGGGAGCUUUUAUACAGGUGCUGCACGGCUGUCGUCAGCUCGUGUCGUGAGAUGUUGGGUUAAGUCCCGCAACGAGCGCAACCCUCGUCACUAGUUACUAACGGUUCGGCCGAGGACUCUAGUGAGACUGCCUUCGUAAGGAGGAGGAAGGUGAGGACGACGUCAAGUCAUCAUGGCCCUUACGGCUAGGGCAACACACGUGCUACAAUGGCCAGGACAGUGAGACGCGAUACCGCGAGGUGGAGCAAAUCUAUAAACCUGGUCUCAGUUCGGAUUGUAGUCUGCAACUCGACUACAUGAAGCUGGAAUCACUAGUAAUCGUAGAUCAGCUAUGCUACGGUGAAUACGUUCCCGGGUCUUGUACACACCGCCCGUC
rnacentral:rRNA from 1 species